CAUAAACCCGUGGCAUUGUGAAUUUUACCGCACACUAAGCACCACACCCACGAGUUUCUGGAACACUCUGACGGCUGGCAAACCAAACCCUUCCCUGGGCAGCCUGCCCCAUCAGGUGAAGGGAAAUUCUUUCGGUGAAGAAUUUUCCAACGCCGACAUCCAAAGGAACGCUCCUUCGGUACCACUUGCGGCUUUUCCCUGAGGGGAAGGCCCCGGGCACCCGGGUGAGGCGAGGCGGCCGCUCCCACCGCCUGCCACGAGGGAGCGCCACCGCCCCGCCCGGGCCGCCUCAGGAUCCGCCGCGGGCCGGGGCCGCGGCCGCGGAAAAAAAAAAAAUAUCAAAGCAAGCUUACUUGUAAUGACAGAGCUGCUUCCACCGGGGAGGGAAGUGCAAGGAACUAAAAAAGGAACUUAAUAUGCGGCAAAGCUGGGGGGAAACCGAGUAAAAAGCGGAGUACGAAAGGAAACUGAAGGUAUUAGGAAGAAUGUGUGAGAGUGAGUGCUCCCCGAGUCGUCGUCGUGGUGCAGAAGAAUUUAGUCUUUUACUUCAAAAACCAUGAUGAAUAGCUGUUUCUGAGUUCUGAUUGAAACAGCUUCUUGUUUAUGCUUUAAUGAAAAAAAAAUAUAUAUUUUGUCAUCUCGGUCUAAAAAAAUAAAGGUUAUCUAUGAGUA